CCUCCUUCGGGAGGGUGCUGGCGACCGGCAAACGGGUGAGUAACACGUGGGUAACCUACCCCCAGGAGGGGGAUAACCCCGGGAAACCGGGGCUAAUACCCCAUAAAGCUAGGAGCCACAAAGGCUUCCUAGUUAAAGGGGGCCUCUGCUUGCAAGCUCCCGCCUGGGGAUGGGCCCGCGGCCUAUCAGGUAGUUGGUAGGGUAACGGCCUACCAAGCCUAUGACGGGUAGCCGGCCUGAGAGGGUAGCCGGCCACAGCGGGACUGAGACACGGCCCGCACCCCUACGGGGGGCAGCAGUGGGGAAUCGUGGGCAAUGGGCGAAAGCCUGACCCCGCGAUGCCGCGUGCGGGAAGAAGCCCUUCGGGGUGUAAACCGCUGUCAGGAGGGACGAAGGGACCGUGGGCUAAUACCUCACGGUCUUGACGGUACCUCCAGAGGAAGGGACGGCUAACUACGUGCCAGCAGCCGCGGUAAUACGUAGGUCCCGAGCGUUGCGCGGAGUCACUGGGCGUAAAGCGUCCGCAGCCGGCUCCGUAAGCGGGAUGUCAAAGCCCGCCGCUUAACGGCGGAACGGCAUCCUGAACUGCGGAGCUUGAGGCACGCCCGGGCAGGCGGAAUUCCCGGGGUAGCGGUGAAAUGCGUAGAUCUCGGG
rnacentral:rRNA from 1 species